rnacentral:rRNA from 1 species
AUUGAACGCUGGCGGCAGGCCUAACACAUGCAAGUCGAGCGGAGCGGCGGACGGGUGAGUAAGGCCUAGGAAUCUGCACGGUAGUGGUGGAUAACGUCCGGAAACGGGAGCUAAUACCGCAUACUAUCAGAUGAGCCUAGGUGGGAUUAGCUAGGUGGUGGGGUAAAGGCCUACCAAGGCGACGAUCCGUAACUGGUCCGAGAGGAUGAUCAGUCACACGGGGACUGAGACACGGUCCAGACUCCUACGGGAGGCAGCAGUGGGGAAUAGUGGACAAUGGGCGAAAGCCUGAUCCAGCCAUGCCGCGUGUGUGAAGAAGGUCUUCGGAUUGUAAAGCACUUGAAGUAGGGAAGCGGUACCAACAGAAUAAGCACCGGCUAACUACGUGCCAGCAGCCGCGGUAAUAC